GACGAACGCUGGCGGCGUGCUUAACACAUGCAAGUCGAACGAUGCAGCUCCAUCUAGUUCGAGUGGGUCAGUUGCGAACGGGUGAGUGACACGUGAGCAACAGGCACCUGACUCUGACAUGAGCUCUAGAGGCGGCGACUAAUACUGGAUACGUGCUGAGUCCGCAUAGGCGCUCUCUGGCACAUUAUUCGGUUGGGGAAGGGCUCGCGGCCUAACAGCUUGUUGGUGAGGUAAGGGCUCACCAAGGCGACGACGGGUAGCCGGCCUGAGAGGGCGAACGGCCACACUGGGACUGAGACACGGCACAGACUCCUACGGGAGGCAGAAGUGGGGAAUAGUGCACAAUGGGCGAAAGCCUGAUGCAGCGACGCCGCGUGAGGGAUGACGGCCUUCGGGUUGUAAACCUCUUUCAGCAGGGAAGAAGCGAAAGUGACGGUACCUGCAGAAGAAGCACCGGCUAACUACGUG
rnacentral:rRNA from 1 species